rnacentral:ribozyme from 1 species
UUGGAAGCUCACAAAGCCAUAGUUUACCUCGGCGGAAGAUCGCAGAAAGAUUUUGUCACCGAGUCUGAGUACCUGGUACCGAGCCCAGAGCUGACGGAUCAGUUUUCUGAUAUUUUUUCCAAGCAAAAACCAGAAGGGAACGACCAAGAUCCCCCGUCUUUGAGAAGGAUCAAAAAGACCGGCCGGGACCA